GAAUAAUUAGCAUACUGUAAUGCUUAUAUUUUGAAAAUAUAAUAAAAAUUUAGGAUAAAUUUAUUAUUCU
rnacentral:tRNA from 1 species